rnacentral:lncRNA from 1 species
AAAAACCCCAAUUUCACAAACCCUAGAGGGGUCGACUAACUGAAGGACCCUUAAGCCUAAAAAGCAGCAGAUCCCCUCUCUAAGAGGGAACCCUACUUAAUUCUCUCAUACAAAAGAGAGAAGCAGCCGAAGACUCUAACCUACACAAAGCAGCUGCCUCCCUUGAAAACCCUUUAUCUCUCUCGUUAUUCUGUCACCGGUGAAUCAGCCACCUACCACCACCUCCCUGGACAUCGCCAGCGACCAUUCUCACCCUCAGCUCCGUCUCAAAUGUCGGAGAUCCCAUUAAAAACGACCAUUUUUAGUUGUUACUUAUAGAUUCCAUUCAGAUCUGACCGAAAACGUGUAGCUCCGGCGACCCUUCAUUGAAUCCGGUGAAACAAAGCUCAAACCUAGCAGUAAACCCAGCUCCAAAAAUGCUCUAAAACUACAUCAAAUCAGUGUGAAAAUCAUCCCAAAAUCGUCGUCUAACUCAUUCGAUUUGAAUCGUUCUAGGCUCCGUUACCGGUUCGAGGUUCAGGUCAUUAGCUCGUUUUUGGUAUGCUGCAUCAGAGAUUUUCUUUCAUUGUAUACAUUGAAGAAUAUGCAACAAUAAAGGGGCCUUAAGGUUUUCAAUAAUAGAGAAUGAGUUAUUGUAAAUUCAGUUUCAUAUGCUAUCUGCGUCAUCUUAGCAGACCAAACUAAGGUACUGUUCCUCGUUAUGGUUAGUGAUUAAUUCAUAGCUUCUUGCACUGAUUUUUUCGUGUUAACCGUUGCUCUCUGUUUUCGUUUGGAUUGCUUUAGCUUUUUUUCUCUGUGAAUUUCGUACUUUGGCUGCAGUGUCCACUAGUUUGAAAGAUCUUCUUUUGGUAUUUUGCUUGGUUUUGCUAUAGGGUUUCUCUAACAAUAAACAAAUGAAUUUUACUUUUAGCAAAAGUUUGUCUACAAUAGCAUACAAAAUAAGAGAAUCCUUUUCAGCAAUACUAAAACCAGGACAUUUUGAAUUCACAAUCGAUAUCAUAUAGAGUGGAGUAAAAUAAUAAUAACAAACUGAAAUAUGUCAUAAAGUUUUGUUUAGUGGAGUCACUUCACUAAAAAGAUCGGUUUGCAAGCAGCUUAGUAAGAAACAAAACAUGUUGUUGGCGAAUUUGCAAAACUAGUAAAGGAAGCUAGUAAUAGUAUCAUAUUGUUGUUGUUGCAUCAUACUGUUAUGAUAUGCAUCCAGCAUUUCUAUCAUUUAUUUAAAUCAUAAAAUGUUAUUAAUUUUGUAUACGUUCGUGUGAUACGAAUACAAUUUAAAAAUGAAUAUUCAUAGGCAAUUCUUUAGGCGCGACUUAAUCUAUCAUCAUGAUUGUGUACACGUUCGCGUGACAUAGUUACGAUUUUUAAAAUAAAGUGAAGUACGUGUUCGCGCGACUUUGGCCAAGCUUUUCUUAAAAUAAUUAAGUGCUGUGAAAUAUGUACACGUACGUGUAGCAUGAUUCUUGACGCGCUGAACGAAAUGAGUACACUUACACGUGACAUGUUUUAAGAUAAUUCCAUAAUCGCGAAUAAUUAAGUAAUUAAAAGCGUUAAAAGGUAAAAUAUACAUAGGUCUUAAAAGUGAGUAAUUAAAUAAUUUAAGCUAGGUAUGAUUAGAGCGACCAUGCUAAAACCACAAAAUUUGGGAAUGCCUAAUACCUUCUCCCGGAUUAACAAAAUUCCUUACUUGGUCUUCUGGUUUCACAAACUUUAAAACAGAGUCAAUUUUCCUCAAUUUGGGAUUUAAAAUAAACCGGUAACUCUGGACACCAUAAAUAUUUCAAGUGGCGACUUUGAAAUGAAAUAAACAAUCCCAUUUCGAUUAGUGUCAUUUUAAUUGGAAAAACUCCCUAUUCCUUUGGGGAAAAAGGUGGUGUGACAACUCUGGCGUCUCUGUUGGGGAUCAAACCCAAAAUCUCUGGUUCAGGGUUCAGAAUUCGAGCUUGUAAUAUAAUUUAUACUUGGCUUUAUUGUUUGUUGGUAGUACUAUAUUUGUGGGCUUAAUGUGCUAAUUAUCGCUCAUUUAUCGCUUUGAUAUUAUUUUAAUUGUAUUAAACUGUCUUCUUACGCAUCCUUUCUGAGUCUUCUAAAAAUAUGGUGCACACGUACGGUGGCCCACUUUUCUAUUAGAGGUCAUACCAAAUAGAACGAGGCUGGAUCAGCAACUAGGCUUGGUAGACUUUCGUGUUCCCGAUACAUUGCCCCUACCUUGGCUCGAGCUGUCCUCUUGGGUAAGCCCUGUCUAGAACACACCCCUAGGUUUUAAACCUAGAAUAACAUAGCCUCAUGCUAGAUCCCCAAUAAGAAUGUUUAUUUGCAUCACGUGCAUUUGGCUUUGGGGACUCAACACAGGGGUUGAGUCCGUCAAGGACAGGUGUACCCAAAAAUAAAAGACAAUCCUGAUGCAUCCUAUGUGCUACAUGUUGUAUUCUUCAAGGGUAAAAAGGUUAUUUGGCGGACCAAUGAUGGUUGAGGGUAAAUGAGAAAGAAAAGAGGGUGAAGUGUGAAAAUGAAGCAAGUAGGGCCCAUUUAUGUUUUUCUUUCACAAUUUUUUAAGAAAAAGACAAAAAAAAUAAAAAUAAAAAAUUCAAAAAGAUUUUGCACUUUCCCAUCAUUUUUUUUAAAAAAGGCAAAUAUAUUUCUCCAAAUCAGUUGUUUUUUAAUUCUCGCCCGUAUCCAAUCUUCCCGAGCUAUGCAUACCUGAUUCUCAUCUUUCGCGGUGGGAUACUGUGACGAUCCGACAGGUCGUCUUAGGAAUUAAUGCCCCGAUUCCCUAUUAACUGCUUUUCCCAAGUUUAUUUAUGCUAUUUUGAUUUGCCGGAAUGUUCGGUUUUAAGUUUCGGAGACUUUUGGGACACCUAGUCCCUAAAUGAGAGCUUAAGUGUUGGAAAGUUGACCGUAGUCGGAACAGUAUAAAAAUGGCCUCGGAAUGGAAAUCCAAUGAUUCUGUUAGCUCUAUUAGGUGAUUUCGGGCUUAGGGUCGUGUUCGGAUUAUGUUUUGGAGGUUCGUAGCUAAUUUAGGCUUGAAAUGCCGAACGUUGAAUUUUUGAAGUUUGCAGUUCGAUAGUGAGAUUUUGAUCCUAGGGUCGGAAUGGAAUUCCAAUAGUUGAAGUAGUUCCGUUAUGUCAUUUGGGAUGUGUGUGCAAAAUUUCAGGUCAUUCGGAGGUGGUUUAGUUGGGUUUUGAUCAAAAACGUGAUUCGGAAGAUUUUGGAAGACUUAGGCUUGAAUCCGAUGUGUUUUGGUUGAUUUGAUGUCGUUUGAGGUCCUUUGAAGAUUUGUACAACUUUUGAUAAGGUUUUAGGAUAUGUUGGUGCCUUUGGUUGCUGUCUUGUGGGCCUCGGGUGUGUUUUAGAUGCUCAACGGAUCAUUUUUAGUUGUUAAAAAGUUGCAGAUUUUGUUCAGCUAUUGUAGAGGAAUUGUACCCUUCGCGUUUGCGAUGGGACCCUCGCGUUCGUGAAGAGUUAGUUGAGGAAGGCAAAUGUUAAGCCUUCGCUUUCGCGAUGGGAGCUCCACGUUCGUGAAGGGCUGAAUACUUGUGAACCGCAUUCGCGACUGGGCUUCGCGUUCGCGAAGGAGGAAAUUUGGCCCAGAAGAAUUUACUCAUCGCGUUCGCGGAGGUUAGCCGGGUAAAGCAUCACGAUCGUGAGGGCCUUGUUGCGUUCGCGUAAGAGGACUUUUAGUUAACGUCAUUUUUGUGCUUCCCGAACGCGAGGGUUUGACCGCGUUCGCGAAGAAGGAAUUAAAUGCUUGGGCAGAAUGUUUUAAAAGGUUUAUUUCGCGAAUUUUAGCCUAGGUUCCUCCAUUGUUAGGCGAUUUUGAAGCUUUUUGAAGAGGGUUGAAGAGGGAUUCAAGGGGAAUCACUUGGAGGUAACAUUUUUGACUUCAUAACUCAUUUUUUUGUAAUUAAAGACCUAAUUAGUGGUGGAAAAUUUGGGAAAAAAUGGGUAAUUAGGGCUUGAGUUUAAGUGACCUUUAAAUGAGAAUUUGAGGGGUCAUUUGGACUCCGAUUUCAGUGUUUUUUGUUAUGUAUAGAUUCGUGAGAUUAUGAGAUUUCUAAAAAUAUAAAUUUCACCCGAUUUCGAGACGCGAGCCCGAGGGGCAUUUUGGUCAUUUUACAUAAUUUCGCGUAUUAGCUUAGAGUUAAUUGUGGAAUCAGUUACUUGAAGUGUUAUUUACAUUAUGCAAUUAAAUUGAAUAGAUUUGGGCCAUUUGGAGUCUAGUACUCGCGGGAAGAACGUGGUCUCGAGUUGAUUUUGAGCCGGUUCAAGGUAAGUGUCUUGUCUAACCUUGUGUGAGGGACCUUCCCCUUAGGAUUGAUAUAUUUGGUAAUUGAAAUGCCUUGUACGUGAGAUGACGAGUGCGUACUUGUGCAAAUUGUUGAAAAUCCGAUUUUUUUAAGUACUUAUUAGUAUGUUCCUUCUCCUACUUUUAUUACUUGUACUAUUAAGCCUGUUGUUAGCUUAGGAAAGUAUGUCUAAGUGAUUUAAUUGUUUUAAAUGUUCAAUAAAACAAUUAAUAUUAGUAUGUUCCGUCUCCUGCUUUUAAUAUGUUUACCUGAACUCUGUGCAGCAAGCUAGGCUAGGAUUAUUUGUUGCCUUAAAUAUGAAAUUUCCCUUCUCUGAAUAUUUUCUUGUUGUUGCUGCUGUGUAUUUAAUUGAGACUAUGGAUGUAGGGUGAUAGAUCCCCCUGCACAGUUAUAUGGAACUACGGGAAUGCACCCAGUAGAUUCUCCCAGUACUGGGUAUUUACAUUUGGGACUACGGAUCGGGAUUCCGGUUUCCCGCGCAUUGAUAGUUGGACUAUGGGACGGGAUCUCGGGAGAUCCUUCGGACAUAUAUAUGAUGGACUAUAGGACGGUAUCCAGGGAGAUCCACUGGAUAGUUGUAAUUGGGACUACGGGACGGUAUCCUGGAAGGUGCCCCGGUUGUGAUCUAUGUGUUGAGCUAUAUUUCUUCUGUGGUUUGUUUGUCUCUGUUCUAAUUGUUGUUGUUCUUUCAAUUCUAUGCUAUUUCUUACUGAUGUACUUAAUUAUACUGUUUUAUCUCAUACUGUUAACCCUUAUAUUUUAUUUAACCUCAGUAGGGCCCUGACCUUCCUCGUCACUACCCGACCGAGGUUAGGCUUGACAUUUAUUGAGUACCGCUGUAAUGUACUCAUGCCCCUUCUGCGCAUGUUUUUCAUGUGCAGAUCCAGGUACCUCUACUCAGGCUUACCAUUCUUGAGGCAAGGCGAUUCUACGGGACUUCAAGGUAUAUCUAUCACGUCCGCAGACCGAGAAGUCUCCUUCUAUUCCUGCAUGAAGUAUUUAGCCCUUCUAUACUUUUGUUAUUGCUAGACAUUCCGGAGAUUAGAGUUAUGUAAUGUUUUUCUUAGCUUGUGGAUACAUGAGUUUCUAGGUUUUGGGAUAGUGUAUCAGAUUUUGAGAAGUUAUGUGUAUAUGCCGAGCGACAUUUAAAUAUUAUUUCCUUCAGUUAUUCUUAGCUUUUGAUUAUUUAUUCUGCAAGAUGGUUCAUUUUCUGCAUUUGUUAGGCUUACCUAGUCGUAGAGACUAGGUGCCGUCACGAUAGUUCACGGAGGAUAAAUUGGG